GCAGUCGAACGGUGAACACGGAGCUUGCUCUGUGGGAUCAGUGGCGAACGGGUGAGUAACACGUGAGCAACCUGCCCCUGACUCUGGGAUAAGCGCUGGAAACGGCGUCUAAUACUGGAUAUGUGACGUGAUCGCAUGGUCUGCGUCUGGAAAGAAUUUCGGUUGGGGAUGGGCUCGCGGCCUAUCAGCUUGUUGGUGAGGUAAUGGCUCACCAAGGCGUCGACGGGUAGCCGGCCUGAGAGGGUGACCGGCCACACUGGGACUGAGACACGGCCCAGACUCCUACGGGAGGCAGCAGUGGGGAAUAUUGCACAAUGGGCGCAAGCCUGAUGCAGCAACGCCGCGUGAGGGACGACGGCCUUCGGGUUGUAAACCUCUUUUAGCAGGGAAGAAGCGAAAGUGACGGUACCUGCAGAAAAAGCGCCGGCUAACUACGUGCCAGCAGCCGCGGUAAUACGUAGGGCGCAAGCGUUAUCCGGAAUUAUUGGGCGUAAAGAGCUCGUAGGCGGUUUGUCGCGUCUGCUGUGAAAUCCGGAGGCUCAACCUCCGGCCUGCAGUGGGUACGGGCAGACUAGAGUGCGGUAGGGGAGAUUGGAAUUCCUGGUGUAGCGGUGGAAUGCGCAGAUAUCAGGAGGAACACCGAUGGCGAAGGCAGAUCUCUGGGCCGUAACUGACGCUGAG
rnacentral:rRNA from 1 species